rnacentral:tRNA from 1 species
GGGCGAGUAGCUCAGGUGGUUAGAGCACGGUCCUGAUAAGACCGGGGUCGUAGGUUCGAGUCCUACCUCGCCCACCA